rnacentral:lncRNA from 1 species
CUGGAAGUGGACGGUAUUGCAGUAUGAAUGAAGGAGCAGCUGCUGAUGGGAGGCAGGAAGUCCAGGCUCAUGAACGCUGAGGCAUCUGCCAGUACAGCACCAGAGGAGGCAGUAGUGACGUUGGGGGGCAGUUGCAGAAGAAGAUGAGGAGUUCCCCAGCAGGAAGCCACAAACCCGGCAGGAACCUGCAGGGGAAUCGCAGCAUGUGUGGGUGCCCAGGAGGAAAUGCAGCCCCAGCGUCUGAGCAGCGCCUGGCCAUGGAGUGCUGCGGCCCAAGAACAGCGCUAUUCUGCCCUUGCCGAGAUGGCUUUCCAAGGAGGACUUGUCUGUGGGGGUCAAGGAGGUUAUUCGGGUUAUGUGGGCUCGUUGGGGUCUGUCCUCACAAAAAGCAGAGGGCUGGCUCAUCCAAAAGCUUGGUGAUUGCUUGGAAGCCCAAACCCUUCUGGCCUCCAAUGACCCCAUAGGCCCGACUGACCCCAUAGACCUUUUUGACCGAGUGACCACAGUGACCUCACAUGAACCAUAUAACCCCACUGAUCCUCAUGAUCCCAAUGAUCCCACAUGGGCCCAGUGACCCCACAUGACCCCACUGACCCCACCGAUCCCAAAGAUCCUAAUGAUACCCAUGACCCCAUAAGACCCCAACAACCCAUUAACCCUACUGACCCCAGUGACCCCAUUAAGCUCAUAUGACCCUAUUGACCCCACUGACCCCAUUAAUCCCAAUGACUCCAUUGACUCCAAUAACCCCCACUGACCGCAUUAAGCCACUUGACCCCAAUGAACCAAUUGACCCCAAUGACUCCAUUGACUACAAUGACCCCAAUAACACCCUUUGACCCUAAUGACCCCCAUUGCCGCAGGGACCACAUUGACCCUUAUGAUCCGAUUGAAUCCAAUGACCCCAUUCACUUCAAUGACCCUAUUUACUCCAAUGACCCCACUGACACCAAUGACCCCAUUCACUCUAAUAACCCCAUUUAAUUCAAUGACCACAAAGACCCCUAUGGCCCCCACUGACCCCAAUGACCCCCAUUGACCCCAGUGACCCCAUUGACUCCAAUGUCCCCAUAGACCCCAAUGACCCCAUUGUCUCCAAUGACCCCAAUCAGGAUGCAGCCUGGGGGAAACGUCUCCUGCUUCGAAUCAUGCAGCACCUGAGCGAGAGGCUGACCCAGCCUGGCUACACAACAAUCGUGUGUAUUUCUCUCUUCUGAUGCUUCACAGAACCCCAUUGGGUGAGCCUCCUGUUGGUUUCUUCAAAUUUGGUACCAAUCCUGGGGACCAAAACCACAGCCUGAAAGGCUGGAACCAGUCCAGGGGCUUAAAGCCACAGCCCCAGCUAGAGAGGCCAGAAGCAGCCAAGGGCCUAAGGCCACAGACACAGGCGGGGAGCCCAGCACUGGCCCUGGGACUUAAAGCCACAGCCGG